CAGCCGCGGUAUUCCAGCUCCAAUAGCGUAUAUUAAAGUUGUUGUGGUUAAAAAGCUCGUAGUUGAACCUUGGGCCUGGCUGGCCGGUCCGCCUCACCGCGUGUACUGGUCCGGCCGGGCCUUUCCCUCUGUGGAACCCCAUGCCCUUCACUGGGUGUGGCGGGGAAACAGGACUUUUACUGUGAAAAAAUUAGAGUGCUCCAGGCAGGCCUAUGCUCGAAUACAUUAGCAUGGAAUAAUAGAAUAGGACGUGUGGUUCUAUUUUGUUGGUUUCUAGGACCGCCGUAAUGAUUAAUAGGGACAGGCGGGGGCAUCAGUAUUCAAUUGUCAGAGGUGAAAUUCUUGGAUUUAUUGAAGACUAACUACUGCGAAAGCAUUUGCCAAGGAUGUUUUCAUUAAUCAGGAACGAAAGUUAGGGGAUCGAAGACGAUCAGAUACCGUCGUAGUCUUAACCAUAAACUAUGCCGACUAGGGAUCGGACGAUGUUAUUAUUUGACUCGUUCGGCACCUUACG
rnacentral:rRNA from 1 species